AACUACUGGAAACGGUGGCUAAUACCGCAUAACGUCGCAAGACCAAAGAGGGGGACCUUCGGGCCUCUUGCCAUCAGAUGUGCCCAGAUGGGAUUAGCUUGUUGGUGAGGUAACGGCUCACCAAGGCGACGAUCCCUAGCUGGUCUGAGAGGAUGACCAGCCACACUGGAACUGAGACACGGUCCAGACUCCUACGGGAGGCAGCAGUGGGGAAUAUUGCACAAUGGGCGCAAGCCUGAUGCAGCCAUGCCGCGUGUAUGAAGAAGGCCUUCGGGUUGUAAAGUACUUUCAGCGGGGAGGAAGGUGUUGUGGUUAAUAACCGCAGC
rnacentral:rRNA from 1 species